GCGUCCUGCCUCGUGAUCGUCUUCUCAACUGUCACCGGGGGCAGGCGGAUUGAGGGGAACCCCCGUGAGGACAUGACUCACGGGGGUUUCCU
rnacentral:ncRNA from 1 species